AAACCAGCCUCUUGCGUGACGUCAUCCCACCGCGGCUGCUUUCCAUUUCCGCCACAGCGACUCUCUCCAUUUCUUCCUCUUUUUGCCUUGCAAACCCAGACAUUCUCAUCUGAUUACUCCGCGGCGGCGGCGGCGGCGGGAGCGGCAUCUCCGACGAGAUUCCUCUCUUGAUGGUAUCGUUGAACAAGCCAACUAAGCACAAGGAGUUGUCUCGGGUGAUGAGAUAAUUUGGUUAAGGAAGGUAGGAAGCAGUAAAUUCAAUGGGCAAUCCUUCUAUUCUCACGGAGGAUUUAGGCGAUACGUCUGACUUUGAGGUUGAUGGCGUCGAGAACCUCACGGAGAAUGAUGUCAGUGAUGAGGAGAUUGAUGCCGAGGAGCUGGCCCGACGGAUGUGGAAAGACAAGAUCAAGCUGAAGAGGAUCAAGGAGAGGCAGCAGAAGCUUGCUCUGCAGCAGGCAGCACUAGAGGAGUCCAAAACAAAGAAGAUGUCUGAGCAGGCUCUCCGCAAGAAGACGGCGAGAGUCCAGGAUGGGAUCUUGAGGUACAUGCUCAAGCUGAUGGAGGUGUGCAAUGCUCGUGGGUUUGUUUAUGGGAUCAUUCCUCAUAAAGGGAAGCCUGUCAGUGGUGCAUCGGAUAACAUUAGAGCUUGGUGGAAGGAGAAGGUUCGGUUCGAUGUGAAUGGGCCGGUUGCCAUUGCAAAGUAUGAGGUUAAGAACUCAAUGCUGGUUGAUGCUAAGCGCAGAGGGGUCUUGAACCAGCAUAGCUUGAUGGAUCUCCAGGAUGCUACCCUGGGAUCAUUGCUCUCAUCGUUGAUGCAGCAUUGCAGCCCGCAGCAGCGCAAGUACCCACUGGAUAAGGGUGUCCCUCCCCCAUGGUGGCCAUCAGGAAAUGAGGAUUGGUGGAUUUCUUUAGGCCUUCCAAUGGGAAUAUCACCACCAUACAGAAAACCGCAUGAUCUUAAGAAGGUUUGGAAGGUUGGCGUGCUGACGGGUGUGAUCAAACACAUGGCCCCAAACUUUGAUAAGAUCAGGAAUUGUGUAAGGAAAUCGAAGUGCUUGCAAGACAAAAUGACUGCUAAAGAGAGCUUGAUUUGGCUGGGAGUUCUUCGAAGAGAGGAAAUAUAUUUUCGCAGUUCUGACAAUGUUGGAUCACAGAUUACACACCGUAGUUCUCGUGAGGGAAAAAGUGAUGAUAUAUAUAGCAGCAGUGAUGAGUAUGAUGUCGACCAUUUGGAGGAACCUCCUCGCUCUUCAUCAUCCAAAGAUAAUGUGGGGCGUCGUCAGCCAACUGCGCAGAUCAGAGAGGAGCAUACCUCUAGUCGACACAACAGAGGACGCCAUGAUCAGCAACCCAAUCAAGUACUUCCUAGCAAUGAAGGGACCAAUGAAUCAAGGAAGAGAAAGAGACCUAGUGGUCAUUUACUUACUGCUGAAUCUGAGGUUGAGGUAACACAAAAAGAUGACAAUCAACUAGCCAUUGUGAGCAAUGCAUUGCCCAAUAUGAGCAGAAUAAACCAAACGGAGAUGAUGGGCAUGGCUAACCAGAUGACAAGCCUCAGCCAUGUCAAUACAACUGAAACUCUACAGCAUCAAUAUGUUCAAGGGAACUUCGUAUCUUCUCCUGCUGCUGUGGUUAAUAACUAUAACAGCAACCAGAUUACAAAUGUUAAUCCUUCAAGGAUUUAUAUGGGAUAUCAGCCUUUAGCAUGCCAAAAUAAUGGUCACACAAAUCCAUGGUCUGAAGACACUUUUCAGGUUGAUGUUGGUCCACCACCUAUUGGUUUUACUACUAAUUCUUCGUCAGGUGGUAAUCAUUCUUUUCCCAUGAAACAAUCACUACCAAAAUCUAUAGAUGAUCAUGUGCCUAUUACGGAGACAGGGGUGUUGGCUGAUAGCAGUUCAUAUGGUUAUCAUAUCACAGCCACAGGUAGUAGGAAUUCAACCUCUGUUGCUGGCCAUGGAAAUCAGCUCAUGGGAGAUCCUUUCGACAGUGGUACUGCUGAUAAGUUCAAUGGGAAUUCGUUUGAUGGAUUGCCUUUUGACUUCAUUGGUAGUAGUCCAAUCCCUGACAUCGGUGUAUUGCUAGAUGAUGAUGAUAUAAUGCCAUAUCUGGGAACAUAACCUAGGCAACUCUUUUGCAAUUGUAAGAACUGCGACAUCCAGAAAUGUAAAUGGUGGCAGAAGUUCCUGUAUCGUUCAUUAGCUAAUCGCUGAGAACUUGAGAAGGGCGCGCUCAUCAUGGCAUGCUGGUGUUCCGCUUAACCUGCUGCAACCAGUGAAGGAUGCGUCGUGCCAAUGAUCUGUAAUUUGUACCUAUCGCUUUUAAUUAGCCUGUUCUGGAUUAUUUAGCCUGGCUGUAAAAAAGCUCAUAGAAACUCGCUUAGCUGGAGAAUUUCCUGCAAUGCUGGAUGGUUGUAUACAUUUUUACCUGUGCUACCAUGUUAAUUUUGCUCAGUUACUCAUAGAUAAAUCUUGAUGUAUAUGAGACAUGUUCAUUGCAGCUAGCUCAGACAUAAUAAUACCUGAAUUCUUGCAUGCUGGAA